GGUUUCAAACAUAGACAUCACCGUCGCCAUGUCUGAACAGGAAAAACGAAGAAGUAGGUCAAUUAGUAAAAUCAACUUCUCAUCCCUCUAAUCCCUUCUGAAAGGUUAACUAGGUUUUUUUUUUUGGAAAAUGGGUUUUGUUUGGGGUUUUUGGGACAGUUUCCAAGUUUGUUUUGUUGGUGAAAACGAAUGGAUCCUAAUAUGAAGGACUAGAAACGUUGGAUUUUUCAACAAGUUUACUUGGGAAUUCUGUUUCUUUACAAUAGGAGGUGCUUCACAGUGGAAAAAAAUCACGAGUUGCUUUUUGGAGGUCUCAAACCGAAAUCUAAUAAUGAGACGGAGGGCAUUUCAAACUUAAAAGUCCAAGUUCUUGUGGUUAUUGCAAGCGUUGAGUUAAAGAAGAAAACAACAGUGCACACUACUGAAGUGGCUUCUAAUCUGGUUGAGAUCAUACAAAAUUCUAGAUUCAAGUUACAGACAGUCAAUUUGGGCUUUGAGGAUGACUAUGCAAAUUAAAAUUUCUAUCUCAUUUGUUUGUUUGGAAUCUUUUCCUCAAUUUUUUUGACAUUUCUUGCUGAUAACCAUGUUUAAUUUUUUUUAUUUGCAUUCAAUUGCGUUCCGGAGUAAUAUUUAGUUAUGGAAAUAUUUAGAGAUAUCCUACCUAUGUCAUUGAAUUAAAAACAGUACAGCGAAAAAAUUAAGGAAUGCUUUCCACCUGUAAUCAAUUUAUGGCUUCCAACCCCCGCAAAGCGGGGAUCCUUCUCU